UACGGGAGGCAGCAGUGGGGAAUAUUGCACAAUGGGCGCAAGCCUGAUGCAGCCAUGCCGCGUGUAUGAAAAAGGCCUUCGGGUUGUAAAGUACUUUCAGUCGUGAGGAAGGUGUUAAGGUUAAUAACCUUAGCAAUUGACGUUAGCGACAGAAGAAGCACCGGCUAACUCCGUGCCAGCAGCCGCGGUAAUACGGAGGGUGCGAGCGUUAAUCGGAAUUACUGGGCGUAAAGGGCACGCAGGCGGUUAAUUAAGUUGGAUGUGAAAUCCCCGGGCUUAACCUGGGAAUGGCAUUCAAGACUGGUUAGCUAGAGUCUUGUAGAGGGGGUAGAAUUCCAUGUGUAGCGGUGAAUGCGUAGAGAUGUGGAGGAAUACCGGUGGCGAAGGCGGCCCCUGGACAAAGACUGACGCUCAUGUGCGAAAGCGUGGGGAGCAAACG
rnacentral:rRNA from 1 species